rnacentral:rRNA from 1 species
UACAGAGGGUGCAAGCGUUGUUCGGAUUCAUUGGGCGUAAAGGGUGCGUAGGCGGCGCGGUAAGUCGGGUGUGAAAUCUCGGAGCUUAACUCCGAAACUGCAUUUGAUACUGCCGUGCUUGAGGACUGGAGAGGAGACUGGAAUUUACGGUGUAGCGGUGAAAUGCGUAGAUAUCGUAAGGAAGACCAGUGGCGAAGGCGGGUCUCUGGACAGUUCCUGACGCUGAGGCACGAAGGCCAGGGGAGCAAACGGG